rnacentral:rRNA from 1 species
CGUCAAAGCUUACUUCUUCACACACCCAUAAUCCCUUAAAACACUAAAAACCCCUCAAUAGUACUAAAUAAUCCUAUAACUCUAUAGGACUCUUUAUGCUAAAACUAGUAACAAGAAGAACCUUCUCUUAUAUGUAAGUAUAAAUCAGAACAGAAAUACUACUGAUAUUUAACAGCUAUAACCCAUAGUACUAAACUACUUAGAAAAACCUACUGACUUAGCUGUUAAUCUAACACAAGAGCAUAAAAAGAAAGAUUAUAAGAAAAAGAAGGAACUCGGCAAACUUUGAUUUCGCCUGUUUACCAAAAACAUCGCCUCCUGCUCUCCAAUAGGAGGUCCAGCCUGCCCGGUGACCUAGUUUAACGGCCGCGGUAUCCUAACCGUGCGAAGGUAGCGUAAUCACCUGUUUUUUAAUUGAAGACCUGUAUGAAUGGCAUCACGAAAAUCGUACUGUCUCCUUUUUCCAAUCAGUGAAACUAAUCUUCCCGUGAAAAAGCGGGAAUACAAAUAUAAGACGAGAAGACCCUUUGGAGCUUAAGACAAAGUAACGUUUUGCACCUCCUCUUAACCUAUUUCCUUAAGCACUUACAUUACAAGUCUUCGGUUGGGGCAACCGUGGAGUAAAACUCACCCUCCAAGCUGAAUAGGACCCUCCUUAACAAAAAGCCACAACUUUAUGUAUCAACAAAUUGACAUCAUGACCCAAUAUUUUGAUUAUCGAACCAAGUUACCCUAGGGAUAACAGCGCAAUCCACUUCAAGAGUUCAUAUCGACAAGUGGGCUUACGACCUCG